UAUGUUAUUUCUUUUUAAAAGGAAAUUUAUACAGGAUUGAAGGGGUGUCCUACAUGUCUAGUCAGGUUAACAGAAGUGGAAGAUGGUCUAGUAUUAUAAUGAUGUACGAAUGAUACUCUUUGAUAAGCUUAACAUGUCAAAGUGUAAAAUGUUCUGUGGAUUCAUAUGACGAUAAUGCCAGUGUUGAUCUGUAUGAUUUAAUUAAACACAGAUACUGAUACAUUCAGAUAUGCCUGUGAAAUCAUCAGUGUCACCCUUCAGUUCAAGAUCAGUGUCUGCAACUUGCACAUAUUAGUAUAGAGGAGCCUACUGAAUCAAUUUGAUACAUAUCAGCUGUUAUUGUGGGACACAAUGUAGAGAGCAUCAAGUCCUGUCUAGCCGUGCAUGUAACUGUGAUUCAGAAACUCUGAGAAUAUAUAAACAUUACGCUGUUAUAAUUUUUAAAAUACUGUGUCCUGUAGUGUAUCAAUACUGUUUUGUCUCAGUUUAUAACACAGUAUGUUCACAAAUCAAACUUAAGAUCAUAGUGAUCAGUAUUAUUAAAAUCAUUAACUAUUUGUAUGGUGACA
rnacentral:lncRNA from 1 species